rnacentral:rRNA from 1 species
GACGAACGCUGGCGGCGUGCUUAACACAUGCAAGUCGAACGAUGAAGCCCAGCUUGCUGGGUGGAAGAGUGGCGAACGGGUGAGUAACACGUGAGUAACCUGCCUAUCACUCUGGGAUAAGCGCUGGAAACGGCGUCUAAUACUGGAUACGACCUAUCACCGCAUGGUGUGUGGGUGGAAAGAGUUAUCGGUGGUAGAUGGACUCGCGGCCUAUCAGCUUGUUGGUGAGGUAAUGGCUCACCAAGGCGACGACGGGAAGCCGGCCUGAGAGGGUGACCGGCCACACUGGGACUGAGACACGGCCCGGACUCCUACGGGAGGCAGCAGUGGGGAAUAUUGCACAAUGGGCGCAAGCCUGAUGCAGCAACGCCGCGUGAGGGACGACGGCCUUCGGGUUGUAAACCUCUUUUAGUAGGGAAGAAGCGAAAGUGACGGUACCUGCAGAAAAAGCACCGGCUAACUACGUGCCAGCCGCCGCCGUAA